CCAGCUGCAAUAGCGUAUAUUAAAGUUGUUGCGGUUAAAAAGCUCGUAGUCGGAUCUGUGUCUGGACGGUGCCGGACCACCCUGGCGGUCCGUCGUGUCGCGGCCGGCCCGUGUCGCGGGACCACGUGUCCCGUCGGCGCGGUCGCCGUCGCGCUCGUCAGCCGUCUCGGGGUGUUAGUUACCGGCACGUCGGCCGGACGUAUUGUCGGCAGGCGGACACGUGUCUCGUGCUUCCGGCGCGCCGCGCGGCCACGCGUCGCGCGGCCGUCGGUGUUCGACGACGGCGGCCGCCUACUCCAAUCUUGCUGCGCGGUGCUCUUCACCGAGUGCCGUCGGCGGGCCGACACGUUUACUUUGAACAAAUUAGAGUGCUCAAAGCAGGCUCGAAUCUGGCGGGGCGGCUUCACGGCCGUCUCGUCAAAAGGCCCUGAAUACUGGUCGCAUGGAAUAAUGGAACAAGACCUCGGUCCCGCGCAUCUCCGCCCUUCGCGGGCGCGCGAAAUCGCCCUCCGGGGCGUUUCCGUGCGCGGGCCGCCGGGCCGCGGGCGCCAGUCGCCCGCGCGUCCCGCCGGGCCGGUUUUCGGGACCGGAGGUAAUGAUCAACAGAGACGGGCGGGGGCAUUCGUACCGAGACGUUAGAGGUGAAAUUCUUGGAUCGUCUCGAGACGAACUGACGCGAAAGCAUUUGCCAAGUACGUUCUCGUAUGAUCAAGAACGAAAGUUAGAGGUUCGAAGGCGAUCAGAUACCGCCCUAGUUCUAACUGUAAACGAUGCCAGCUAGCGAUCCGCCGGCGUUCA
rnacentral:ncRNA from 1 species